CGGAUGUAGUUUAGUGGUAGAACUCCAGCCUUCCAAGCUGGUCGUGUGGGUUCGAUUCCCAUCAUCCG
rnacentral:tRNA from 2 species